UCUGAGUGCUUGCACUUGGAUGGACUGAGUGGCGGACGGGUGAGUAACGCGUGGGUAACCUGCCUUAUACAGGGGGAUAACAGUUGGAAACGACUGCUAAUACCGCAUAAGCGCACGGUAUCGCAUGAUACAGUGUGAAAAACUCCGGUGGUAUGAGAUGGACCCGCGUCUGAUUAGGUAGUUGGUGGGGUAACGGCCCACCAAAGCGACGAUCAGUAGCCGGCCUGAGAGGGUGAACGGCCACAUUGGGACUGAGAUACGGCCCAGACUCC
rnacentral:rRNA from 1 species